rnacentral:rRNA from 1 species
UACGAAGGGGCUAGGCGUUGCUCGGAAUCACUGGGCGUAAAGCGCACGUAGGCGGAUUGUUAAGUCAGGGGUGAAAGUCCUGAGCUCAACUCCAGAACUGCCUUUGAUACUGGCGAUCUUGAGUCCGGGAGAGGUGAGUGGAACUGCGAGUGUAGAGGUGAAAUUCGUAGAUAUUCGCAAGAACACCAGUGGCGAAGGCGGCUCACUGGCCCGGUACUGACGCUGAGGUGCGAAAGCGUGGGGAGCAAACAGGG